AGAAUCAACGCUGGCGGCGCGCUUAACACAUGCAAGUCGCGCGUGAAAGGGAGCAAUCCUGAGUAAAGCGGCGCACGGGUGAGUAACACGUGGAUGAUCUACCCUAUGGUGGGGAAUAACCUUGGGAAACCGAGGCUAAUACCGCAUAAGUUCGAGAGAAGAAAGCCGCAAGGCGCCAUUGGAGGAGUCCGCGGCCGAUUAGCUAGUUGGUGGGGUAAAAGCUCACCAAGGCGACGAUCGGUAGCCGGCCUGAGAGGGCACACGGCCACGCUGGCACUGAAACACGGGCCAGACUCCUACGGGAGGCAGCAGUGGGGAAUCCUGCACAAUGGGGGAAACCCUGAUGCAGCGACGCCGCGUGAGUGAUGAAGCCCUUCGGGGUGUAAAGCUCUUUCGGCAGGGACGAUAAUGACGGUACCUGCAGAAGAAGCUGCGGCUAACUACGUGCCAGCAGCCGCGGUAAUACGUAGGCAGCAAGCGUUGUUCGGAAUUACUGGGCGUAAAGAGUGCGUAGGCGGUUUGGCAAGUUUGGUGUGAAAUCUCCCGGCUUAACUGGGAGGGUGCGCCGAAAACUGCCAGGCUAGAGUGUGGGAGAGGAAAGUGGAAUUCCUGGUGUAGCGGUGAAAUGCGUAGAUAUCAGGAGGAACACCUGCGGUGUAGACGGCUUUCUGGACCACUACUGACGCUGAGGCACGAAAGCGUGGGGAGCAAACAGGAUUAGAUACCCUGGUAGUCCACGCCCUAAACGAUGCAGACUUGGUGUUGGCCCUUCAUUGGGUCAGUGCCGCAGCUAACGCGGUAAGUCUGCCGCCUGGGGAGUACGGUCGCAAGGCUGAA
rnacentral:rRNA from 1 species